CCUUCGAAGCUCAGUGGUAGAGCGGAGGACUUAGAAUCCUUAGGUCGCUGGUUCAACUCCGGCUCGAAGGA